rnacentral:rRNA from 1 species
GACGAACGCUGGCGGCGUGCUUAACACAUGCAAGUCGAACGGUAAGGCCCUUCGGGGUACACGAGUGGCGAACGGGUGAGUAACACGUGGGUGAUCUGCCCUGCACUUCGGGAUAAGCCUGGGAAACUGGGCCUAAUACCGGAUAGGACCACUGCCUGCAUGGGGGGUGGUGGAAAGCUUUUGCGGCGUGGGCUGGGCCCGCGGCCUAUCAGCUUGUUGGUGGGGUGAUGGCCUACCAAGGCGACGACGGGUAGCCGGCCUGAGAGGGUGACCGGCCACACUGGGACUGAGAUACGGCCCAGACUCCUACGGGAGGCAGCAGUGGGGAAUAUUGCACAAUGGGCGCAAGCCUGAUGCAGCGACGCCGCGUGUGGGAUGACGGCCUUCGGGUUGUAAACCUCUUUCAGCACCGACGAAGCGCAAGUGACGGUAGGUGCAGAAGAAGGACCGGCCAACUACGUGCCAGCCGCCGCCGUAA